CCUACGGGUGGCAGCAGUGAGGAAUAUUGGUCAAUGGACGCAAGUCUGAACCAGCCAAGCCGCGUGCAGGAAGACGGCUCUAUGAGUUGUAAACUGCUUUUGUACGAGAGUAAACGCAGAUACGCGUAUCUGUCUGAAAGUAUCGUACGAAUAAGGAUCGGCUAACUCCGUGUCAGCAGCCGCGGUAAUACGGAGGAUUCAAUCGUUAUCCGGAUUUAUUGGGUUUAAAGGGUGCGUAGGCGGUCGGAUAAGUCAGAGGUGAAAUUCAGAGGCUCAACUUCUGAAUUGCAUCUGAUACUGUUCGUCUAGAGUGUAGUUGCGGUAGGCGGAAUGUAUGGUGUAGCGGUGAAAUGCUUAGAUAUCAUGCAGAACACCGAUUGCGAAGGCAGCUUACCAAGCUGCUUCUGACGUUGAGGCACGAAAGCGUGGGGAUCAAACAGGAUUAGAUACCCUGGUAGUC
rnacentral:rRNA from 1 species